AUAGAGAGCUUUGGUGCAGCACUGGAAGUAAUCCCUCUAUACUUCAUGUACUGGCCAGCAAGAAGCAUUACUUAUGCAACGGUAGAGGCAGAGCUUAAGGGUGUCUAUUUGCGGUAUUGUGGACUUGAUCGAACCGGGUCAUUGGUUUUUAAUGAGAAGUUAGAAGUGGCACAGAAGUGUUCUUGCCUCCAGCACUGGAUUCACCAGUGGACCAAUGGAAACGUGCUGUUCUCCAGACUUGAGGGAGUUGAUACAAUACUGACAAAUAUCGGAGUAGCAGUCAGGUUAACUUUAACUUUUAAUAUUAUUUUACAGUAUUGCUGUUUUUAUGGUAAUUUCGAUCAAAUACAUGCAGUCUUGGUGAGCACAAAGAUACUUUUUUCAUUAGAGACCAAACCCAAACUGAAUGGUAUUAUAUGUUAUUUAUUUGGUUUAAACCAGGGGUUUCCUACCCUGCUCCUGA